rnacentral:tRNA from 1 species
AGAAUAAUAAUUUAAGGGAAAAUUUUUAAUUUGCAUUUAAAAAAUACUAUAUUUAUUAAUAGUUUAUUUUA